CCAUAUCCUAAUGCUCCAGAUGAUAUUUCCACAAUUUCCCUGUAACCAAAAAUACGCUUAAUCAGCUCAAAAUAUCCAAAUUAGCGAAGAUACGAAUUUUCGACCAAAUUAAGCAGAAUUCGGAAAACGGGGAAAUAACAGACAAUUAAACACAAUUCCCUGGUUUAUUUAACUAAAUAUGGUUCAAGAAAUAAUGACUCAUCACACACGUACACUCCCUCAUCUUAUCAUCUUUUCAUCUUAAAAUAAAAGAAAUGUUGUACGCAGUAGCUAUUUCUAAAUGAAGUCAAAGCACC
rnacentral:lncRNA from 1 species